rfam:Triticum aestivum genome assembly, contig: Triticum_aestivum_CS42_TGACv1_scaffold_210661_3AS
AAAGUACUCCCUCCAUCCCAAAAUUCUUGUCUUAGAUUUGUCUAGAUACGGAUGUAUCAAGUCACAUUUUAGUAUUAGAUACAUCCGUAUCUAGACAAAUCGAUACAUCCGUAUCUAGACAAAUCUAAGACAAGAAUUUUGGGACAGAGGAAGUAGUUG